rnacentral:lncRNA from 1 species
AUGAGAAGCAGACUAAGGAUGGAGAUAUGGAUUUGGGAGUUAGACCUCAAAAGACCCAAACCAAGUGAGAUGGAACUGAGCUCCUGGAGUCUAAUUGUACUAGACGCAGAUGUCAUAGCCAGCCUCUUGGGAAUGGAUGGGAGAUCUGCAAGGUUGAAGGUGGAUAGAAGGCAGCAAGAGACAAUGGGGACUAACAGAGGCUCCACUGUUUACAAGCUGUGAGAGUAUCUAAUCAGCACAUCAUAUGUCGUCUGUAGGAUUGUUGUGAGAACUGUGCAUGCUGAACAUUGGGUGGUUAUACAGCCCCGUGACUGAGCAUCUGGGCCUGGGCUUGGCUUCAAUUCCAUGUUAGCCACUGUCUGGUUUCAUGACCUGAGGGAAGUUGCUUGACCUCUUUAUGUAUUGGUUUCUUCAUCUCUAAAAUGGGGAUGUUAAUAGAAACUAUAUUUCAG